rnacentral:rRNA from 1 species
GUCCACGCCGUAAACGUUGGGCGCUAGGUGUGGGUCCCUUCCACGGGGUCUGUGCCGCAGCUAACGCAUUAAGCGCCCCGCCUGGGGAGUACGGCCGCAAGGCUAAAACUCAAAGAAAUUGACGGGGCCCGCACAAGCGGCGGAGCAUGUUGCUUAAUUCGACGCAACGCGAAGAACCUUACCAAGGUUUGACAUGGCCGGAAAACUCAUGGAGACAUGGGGUCCUUCGGGGCCGGUCACAGGUGGUGCAUGGCUGUCGU